GCCACCGUGGCCUAUUGGCUAGGGCUUCGGGCUUGUAACCGAAGGGUUGCUGGUUGGAUCCCGACCAGUAGGA
rnacentral:tRNA from 1 species